rnacentral:rRNA from 1 species
UAGGGAAUCUUCCGCAAUGGGCGAAAGCUUGACGGAGCAACGCCGCGUGAGUGAUGAAGGUCUUCGGAUCGUAAAACUCUGUUAUUAGGGAAGAACAAAUGUGUAAGUAACUAUGCACGUCUUGACGGUACCUAAUCAGAAAGCCACGGCUAACUACGUGCCAGCAGCCGCGGUAAUACGUAGGUGGCAAGCGUUAUCCGGAUUUAUUGGGCGUAAAGCGAGCGCAGGCGGUCAAUUAAGUCUGAUGUGAAAGCCCCCGGCUCAACCGGGGAGGGUCAUUGGAAACUGGUUGACUUGAGUGCAGAAGAGGAGAGUGGAAUUCCAUGUGUAGCGGUGAAAUGCGUAGAUAUAUGGAGGAACACCAGUGGCGAAGGCGACUCUCUGGUCUGUAACUGACGCUGAGGCUCGAAAGCGUGGGUAGCAAACAGG